UGAAGCUGCGGUGACGUAUGGUGCUGUGGCUCUGCAAGUGGAUAGUAUUGGGCGGCGGCCAUGGAAGGACGCUAACGCAGAGACACCCGGAUGACAGGAUUUCAGCUUUUAACAAAGAAUCGUCGCCAGGCCGCAUUGCUAUGCAAGAGCCUCUCAUGACAGCAGCAGCAUGGUCUGCAGGAAAGCAACCUUCAUCAACAUCUCUCAGAGCUGACAGCUCUAAAGACACUUCACAUAUUGAAAGAAUUUAGGAAGAAUCAACUUCGGGUUUGCGUGAUUCAAAUCCCCCACUAUGACGUGAAAGCCAUCGUGGGGAUUUUGCAGCCUGCUAGCUGUGCAACUGCGUCCAGGAACCAUCAGAAUGGAAGAUCAACAGCCUGACCAUCUAUGAUGACAGUCUUCUGCCCUCUUGAACCCACCUCUUUCUGCCCGAGUCAUGUGAAAACCAGCUCCAGUGCCAUCUUUGGACGGCCUGCAAUAUGUCUCACAUAUGAGAAGAUGUUCUUACAUUUCUUUUUUUGUAUAUAUAUACUGUGAUGGACGGCCAGAAGCUCAACCUGGCCAGGACGCCUAAAGAAUGGAAGGCUGGGGGAAGGCAGCUACUUUGGGACACUGCCUCCCCCAAGAUGCUAGAUGGCGAUUUCCCUGCAGCUCCCUCAGCAGGAUUUCUGCAGGGCACCAUGGGAUCUGGAGUUUGGCUUCACAGCCAUGCUGGAUACCAUGGGUGCCACCAGGAGACGCUGCAGGAGGACCUGGGGAUUUCUACUUUCUGCAUAGCCUGGAAGUACUCUCAAGUCACGGGGACGGAAGCCCCGAAGUACUUCCAGGCUGAAGAAAACUCAAGUUCUCCAUCUGAUCCAGGUCAGGGACUAUUUAAAGGACUGCUGAGAACCCAGCAGGCCAGCCAGAGUUGGUUGGAGGUGGACAAAGCUUGCUGGGAGGUGUGGAGGAGAUAGAGAGAGAAUUGUAUGGUUAUUAUGGCUAUUUACUUGCCUGUUUACUGUGGGUGUGGUGCUUGGGGAGCACUAU